UAGAGCUGUAAAUAUUCAAAUACUGGUCAAAAUAAAACAUAUCAUAUAUAUUUUUAAAUCUAUUUAAUCUAAGAAACUAAAUUUAUCUUACUCAAGUAAUGUUUCUAUGUUUUUUAAAAUUGAUUAAACCUUGACAUGUGCCAAAUCACGAAUGAUUAGUGCAAGGUAUGUCUCGUCACCUGCAUAGUUCAUCUACUUAUUAUUGCGAAACUAUUGAAACAAAACGGCUUCCAAACAGAAAUUAAGUAAAAAAACCAGUGAUGAUGCUAGUCCGUCUAACAGUAAACAAACUUAUGCCCACUUUGACACUUCAUCUAAUCGUGAUCCAGUAAGGCAGUACAAGGGUUCCAAGCCUGAACCUGUUUAUGUUAUAGAUAAGGAAGAUAUAAAUUUGUUGGCGGAAAUAUUGACGGACAGUGUAAUUGCAGAAGCUGAAGAAGUAUUACUUCUUAUACGCGAGAACGUGGAGAUCAAAAAUUCUUUGUAUUCUGUUGUACGAAAAGACAGCGAAUAAUGGUUAAAUACCCGAAGAGAUUGUUCAACAGAGAGAAGAAAAUUGUUAAUUAAUUGGUAGUACGUAAGUUCAAAUAAAUAUAUUUUUGAAAUGUAAUAAUAAAGCACGUACAUAUGA